rnacentral:rRNA from 2 species
GCUCAGAUUGAACGCUGGCGGCAGGCCUAACACAUGCAAGUCGAGCGGCAGCGGGUCCUUCGGGAUGCCGGCGAGCGGCGGACGGGUGAGUAAUGCCUAGGAAUCUGCCUGGUAGUGGGGGAUAACUCGGGGAAACUCGAGCUAAUACCGCAUACGUCCUACGGGAGAAAGCGGGGGAUCUUCGGACCUCGCGCUACCAGAUGAGCCUAGGUCGGAUUAGCUAGUUGGUGAGGUAAAGGCUCACCAAGGCGACGAUCCGUAGCUGGUCUGAGAGGAUGAUCAGCCACACUGGAACUGAGACACGGUCCAGACUCCUACGGGAGGCAGCAGUGGGGAAUAUUGGACAAUGGGCGAAAGCCUGAUCCAGCCAUGCCGCGUGUGUGAAGAAGGUCUUCGGAUUGUAAAGCACUUUAAGUUGGGAGGAAGGGCAGUAAGCUAAUACCUUGCUGUUUUGACGUUACCGACAGAAUAAGCACCGGCUAACUUCGUGCCAGCAG